UACGUGAACAAAAUACUGUAUGUGGUAUGUACCUUUGUUAGGUUCCUAAAUAUGGGCUCAACAAAUUGAUAUGUUAUUUGUGUCCCCAUCAUGACCCCCCGGCAAAGCCCCAAACGUCCCCCAGGUUAAUAACCACUGGUCUAUUGGCUCGUGCAGUAAUAUUUUGU